rnacentral:tRNA from 1 species
GCCGGAUUGGCAGAGCCUGGUUUAUUGCCCCCGUCUCGAAAACGGAUGGUCACUCAGUGACACGGAGGUUCGAAUCCUCCAUCCGGCG